GAUGAGUGACCGUUUAGUUCAA
rnacentral:miRNA from 1 species